CUAUAUAUAUAUAAGGGAAAUGAUAUUUUGUUCGGGUUAGUAAUGGAAGAUCAAGUGGAUGGAAAUGAAGAUUAUGGUGAUAAAUUGCCGGUUGGGUUUAGGUUUUUGCCGACAGAUGUAGAGUUGGUGACUCAUUAUUUGAUAAACAAAGUGAUUUAUAACCCUUUUUCAUCUUUCAUUUUUCAAGAAAUCAACGCCACCGAGCUUUAUACCAAAUCUCCCAAGAAUUCAGAUGAACCAAAUGAUGAGAUCAAAACCUGGACGUGUGGUGGCCGGGCAAUGCAUCAUCGGUGGGAAAUUCUUAUGCCUAAAUGAAUUAAUGAAAGAAGAGAUUCCAAUUCUGUAAUGGAGAAAGAGAGUGGUUCUUUUUCAUUUACAUGGAUAUGAACAUUGAUAAUAUGCAUAACAAAGCAAUUGAAAAAGGUGGAGAUGAAUUAGGUUUUUGGCAAUCAAUUGGUGAUAGGAAAUGUGUGAAGGACACCAAUGGAAAUAUAUUAGCCACCAAGAUUACUUUUAUUUAUUUUUCGGGAUCUCCUUCCCAUAGAAAGAAAACACAUUGGAGAAUCGAUGAAUUUCGACUACCCAUUCAAUUCUACACUCUACAUAAUUCUAAGGAGAAGUGGGCUGCUGGGAGACUUACACGAGGCAGAGACUACACUAGUUUUUGAUUGAGCUCGCAAACGGUGAACUUGGCUUCCGCUUACUUCGUAUUCGAAUUUUUAGACGCUCGAAUUCGGGUUUAGAUUUUUUUAGAAUUAAAUUUUUUUGGAUUCGGGGUUUUUUAGUUGGAUCUAUUACAGAUAUAAAAUUUUUUGAGUAAGCACAAA